ACUAUUUUGGCAGAUAAAUGCAAUAAAUUUAGAAUUUAUUUAUAUAAUAUAGUAUUAUAAAUAGUA
rnacentral:tRNA from 1 species